CCCCUGAUUAGCCACAGAGGAACAGGAUGUGGACCCAGCCCUGCUUAAGCAGCUGUUUAGACUGGAUCAUAGAGUGUGCUUUGCAGUGUGGCGUUUCCAUGGCUGUGGCCCGAGCUGUUGUGCCCCAAUAAGUGGGUAGAAAAUGUGAGUGGGUUCACACUCGGCCAGAAAAACAAGGUAGUCGCAGAACCAACCAGAGAGAUGGCAACUUUGGAUUUAAUCCUGAGUGGUGCCCAGGACCUGGUGCGAGAUGUCAGAGUUGCAGAACCAUUGGGUAGCAGUGACAACAGUGUGAUCCAAUUCAGCAUAUAUGCGAGUGAAGAAUUGUCAAGGAAGUCCAACACAGAUGUGUUGGACUUCAGAAGAGGAAACUUCCCAAAAAUGAGGGGACUACUAAGAAGGAAGUUGAAAGGGAAAGUCAGGAGGGUCAAAUAACUCCAGAAAGCAUGGAACUUAUUUCAAACCACAGUACUAGAAGCUCAGUUGGAAUGUAUACCAAGAAGGAGGAAAGGUACCACCAAGUUCAGGAGGAUGCCCGCGUGGCUAACAAGUCGAGUCAGGGAAACUAUAAAAGGGAAGAAGACUUCCUUCAGAAAAUGGCAGUCCUGCCCAAAUGAAAAGAACAGGGACAGAGUACUGGGGAGGAGGGGAAGCGAGAGAAGGCAUCUUAUUCAAAAUGCUAAUGAAGAGUGGAAUUGCAAAGAAAGAAAGAAAGAAAGAAAGAAAGAAAGAAAGAAAGAAAGAAAGAAAGAAAGAAAAAGAAACAGAUUGAAAGAAGAUAAAAGUGGGGGUAGGAGAAAUAGUACUGAUCAACCAGCUUCAGUUAAACAAAGGACCGCACAAGGUAAGAUGGGAUCUGGCAACUGUGAAGAGGAGAAAGUUUGAAUGUGUAUGAAAUAUCUAGUGCAGCAGAACAAGACUCUAGGGGGAAAAGCUGUGUCAUGGCUCUUCCAUAUAGUAAUAAACAGUGCUUUGAAAAGAGCUUGGAAGUAAGUUCAAGGUAGUAACUUAUUCAGCAUCUGCACACUCUCGCAGAUUCCCAUUGUUGUUGCCAGCACAAUGUUAGGAGCAGGUCAUGCAGCUAGCUUGCUUAAUUUUUACAGUGCCACCUGCCGGCUAGCUUCUGCUUUCUGUGAUUAACUCAUCCUAUUCAUCAGAACAAUACAAUUGAAAAAAGGUGGGUUACUCAUGAAAAGCAACAGUUGGCCAGCAGGUGGCGCUGUGGGAUUUGCACAUGGUCCCUGCUGGCUGUGUGA